GCCUAAAGAUGAGCUCGCGUCUGAUUAGCUAGUAGGUGGGGUAAAAGCCUACCUAGGCGACGAUCAGUAGCUGGUCUGAGAGGAUGAUCAGCCACACUGGGACUGAGACACGGCCCAGACUCCUACGGGAGGCAGCAGUGGGGAAUUUUCCGCAAUGGGAGUAAGCCUGACGGAGCAAUACCGCGUGAGGGAGGAAGGCUCUUGGGUUGUAAACCUCUUUUCUCAGGGAAGAAUGCAAUGACGGUACCUGAGGAAUAAGCAUCGGCUAACUCCGUGCCAGCAGCCGCGGUAAUACGGAGGAUGCAAGCGUUAUCCGGAAUGAUUGGGCGUAAAGCGUCCGCAGGUGGCUGUGUAAGUCUGCUGUUAAAGAGCAAAGCUCAACUUUGUAAGAGCAGUGGAAACUACACGGCUAGAGUGCGUUCGGGGCAGAGGGAAUUCCUGGUGUAGCGGUGAAAUGCGGAGAGAUCAGGAAGAAGGCCGGUGGCGAAGGCGCUCUGCUAGGCCGCAACUGA
rnacentral:rRNA from 1 species